AAGCCGGAAUCGCUAGUAAUCGUGGAUCAGCAUGCCACGGUGAAUACGUUCCCGGGCCUUGUACACACCGCCCGUCACACCACGAGAGUUUGUAACACCCGAAGUCGGUAGGGUAACCUUUAUGGAGCCAGCCGCCGAAGGUGGGACAGAUAAUUGGGGUGAAGUCGUAACAAGGUAGCCGUAUCGGAAGGUGCGGCUGGAUCACCUCCUUUCUAAGG
rnacentral:rRNA from 1 species